AUCUACCAUGAAAGACUUGUGAAUCCAGGAAGAGAGACUGACUGGGCAACAUGUUAUUCAGGGUCUCCCUCUGUUGUCCAAGGCUGGAGUGUAGUAGUGCUAUCGCAGCUGACUGCAGCCUCAACCUUCCAGGCUGAAGCGAUCCUCCCACCUCAACCUCCCACGUGGCUGAGACUACAGGUGCUUGCCACUAUGCCCAACUAACAUUUGGAAUUUUCGUAUACGUGGAUUCUAGAGGGGUGACAGCGAAACGUGGGACCAUCCAGUUGCAGGAAAACAAGCUUGACACGCCCACUAAUUCUACAUUAUGCUCCUACCUCCCGGCAGCCUCUCCAGGCCCUGAACUUUCUCAAGUCGACCUCACCAGGCCCAGCUCAU
rnacentral:lncRNA from 1 species